CCUACAUGAAGCUGGAGUUACUAGUAAUCGCAGAUCAGAAUGCUGCGGUGAAUGCGUUCCCGGGUCUUGUACACACCGCCCGUCACACCACGGAAGUUGGGGCGCCCGAAGCCACUUAGCUAACCCAUUUGGGAAGCGAGUGUCGAAGGUGAAAUCAAUAACUGGGGUGAAGUCGUAACAAGGUAAC
rnacentral:rRNA from 1 species